CACACCCGUUCCCAUCCCGAACACGGUAGUUAAGCUCUUCAGCGCCGAUGGUAGUGAGGGGCUUCCCCUUGUGAGAGUAGGACGUCGCCGGGC
rnacentral:rRNA from 1 species